GUCCCUUCGAGGACAUUCGAUAAAAUUGGAAUGAUACACAAAAGAUUACCAUGAUUCAUAUGCAAGAACGACACUGAACAAAUCGAGAAAACUUAAAAAAAAGU
rfam:Capsicum annuum cultivar Zunla-1 chromosome 5, whole genome shotgun sequence